rnacentral:sRNA from 1 species
GAUGAUAUUUCUUCCCUAAAACAAAAUUAAAUUUUUCUGUUAGACUUUUUGAGAAAAUUAUAGUAGUUGUAUUUUUAAAAUUUUUUCUAAAUUGAAAAAUAGAAAUGUGAAGGCAAUUUAAUAGACUGUUUUUAAUUAUUAUUAAAGUUUUAUAAUUCUAAAUGAAAUAUUUGUUUUAGGUUCAGUUCCGGAAGGUGUCUUAGAGGACAUUAAAGCGCGUACUUGCUUUGUAAGUGAUCUGAAGCGAGGACUAAAAAUCCAAGCAGCAAAAUUUAAUAUUGAUGGGAAUAAUGAGGUAAGUUUAAAAAAAAAAAAAAGGCAUCUUUUUGCAAAGGUUACAACAUGUGUGGACUUAUGUUUAUGAUAUUUAUAUUUCAGCGUCCCUCCCCACCCCCAAAUGUUGACUAUCCAUUAGAUGGAGAGAAGAUUUUACAUAUCCUUGGAUCAAUCAGAUUCAGUUGUGGAAAUUCUUUUUGAACAAGAUAAUGAAGAGCAAUCAGUUGCCACUUUAAUAUUGGAUUCCCUUAU